AACGAACGCUGGCGGCAUGCCUAACACAUGCAGGUCGAACGAGACCUUCGGGUCUAGUGGCGCACGGGUGCGUAACGCGUGGGAACCUGCCUUUAGGUUCGGAAUAACUCACAGAAAUUUGAGCUAAUACCGGAUGAUGUCUUCGGACCAAAGAUUUAUCGCCUUUAGAUGGGCCCGCGUUGGAUUAGCUAGUUGGUGGGGUAAAGGCCUACCAAGGCGACGAUCCAUAGCUGGUCUGAGAGGAUGAUCAGCCACACUGGGACUGAGACACGGCCCAGACUCCUACGGGAGGCAGCAGUGGGGAAUAUUGGACAAUGGGCGAAAGCCUGAUCCAGCAAUGCCGCGUGAGUGAUGAAGGCCUUAGGGUUGUAAAGCUCUUUUACCCGAGAUGAUAAUGACAGUACCGGGAGAAUAAGCGCCGGCUAACUCCGUG
rnacentral:rRNA from 1 species